AAGGCUUCAGUACGACCCAGUCAGAACCAUAAGUCUCAAAGCCCCGACGAGUAGGGUGGCGUGCCGGUGCGCGUUGAAGGCCAAGACGUGAGUCAGGCUGGAGCCGCCGGUAGUGCAGAUCUUGGUGGUAGUAGCAAGUACUCUGGUGAACCAACCUGGAGCUGUGAGGUCUGGAUUAGGGUUCCAUGUCAACAGUGAUUGAACAUGGGUGAGUCGAUCCUAAGCCAGCUGUGAAUGCAGUGACAUCCCGACAACGGGGACGCCGCGUACAUGCCCGGCCUUACACCCCCAAAACAAAGCUCUCGUGUAUCUCUCUCUCUAAAGGUGUCUGUGUGACGAAAAGGUGUCUGGUACGGUAAUGCGCACACACGGUGAUCGCUACGCAGUGUGAGUGUGUGCGCUUGGUCUGGUUACGCUCAUAAGCGUUGUUGGUGUCCAAUCAUAAAAAAGUCGCGCCCACACGGUGAUCGCUACGGAGCGUGAGUGUGAGCGCGCAAGGCAAAAGCAUAAAACGAGAACAGAGAGAGAGAGAGAAAGAGAGUGGGUGAGNGNGAGAUUGCCUUUGCAUGAGUCCCCUGCGUUGGUUCUAUGUCAGGCGAAAGGGAAUGGGGACUUUUUUCCUUGACCGGUCCCGGCACCCUCGAUUGGCUUUGCCAAUCAAUGGUCCAUGCAAAUGGAACCAGGCCACAGCCGUCGGCAGUCGCCCGAGGAAGAGUUUUCUUUUCUGCUUAACGCACGAGGUCAUCCCUGGAAACAGUUCGGCUGGCGAAAGGGUGUCCCGUUGCGGCAGAGCGCCACGACUGUCGUGCGCGUCUCGGUGUUCCUGCUGAUCCGUGAAAACGUGGUCGAGGGGAGUGCUCUUGUAUCAACGAAACGUCCGACAAGUUCGGGACGGACCGUACCCUAUAUCCGCAUCUGGUCUCCAAGGUUCGUAGCCUCUGCAGAGUCAGACACAUGUAGGUAAGGGAAGUCGGCAAACUCGAUCCGUAACUUCGGGAAAAGGAUUGGCUCUGAGGGCCGAGCUGGGCCGGGCCUUGCCUGCAAAGCAGUACCUAUAGUGACCGGAGUUUCAGGAGUGCGAGGGGCUCUAGUAGCUGCUUGUGCGUGUGUGUGCGUUCGCUCGUGCAUGCGCGUGUGGGCACGAACGAGUCCACCGCUCCGCUCCAACCACGAACGGCUGUGACGGCAAGGGCUCUGGGCGGGAGCAGUCUAUCCGUUGGCCUCCAGCGCGUCUGGUUGGCGGCGGUGCUCCGUCUGACCCAUACGGCUCCAGCGGCUAGCGGCUAACUCAGAACUGUCAUGGACCAAGGGAAUCCGACUGUCUAAUUAAAACAAAGCGUCGUGACGGCCCCUGUUGGGUGUUGACGCGACGUGAUUUCUGCCCAGUGCUCUAA
rnacentral:rRNA from 1 species